AUGGAUGGUAGUAGCUCCAACAAGAGACGAGUAGAAGCUCAGCGGGAGCGAGAUAGCAAUCCUAAGAGGCACAAUGUCACCAUGAGAUUGGAGACCCUCGACUGCUCUGUCUGCUCUGAGCCCCUCAGACCUCCGAUAUUCCAGUGUUCUUUGGGACAUUUCAUAUGCUUGUCUUGCCGUAGUGAGAUCCUGGACAAGAAGUGCCAUUUGUGCUCUGCUGUAACUUCCUUUGAGCGCUGCUUUGGGAUCGAACAUGUUGUCAAGUCAGUCACUGUUGAUUGCUCCAAUGCCAAGUAUGGAUGCGCUGAGCAGAUCAGCUACUAUCAGAAGGAAGAACACGAAAAGGUGUGCCCAAACGCCCCAUGCUUCUGCCCAGAGUCUGGCUGCGGCUUCGCUGGAUCAGCAAUGGCUCCUGGGCCAUAUGACCGGCAAGCACAAGUGUCCGUUAUCAACAUGUGA
rnacentral:rRNA from 1 species